rnacentral:rRNA from 1 species
AACGAACGCUGGCGGCGGGCCUCAUACAUGCAAGUCGAGCGCGAAAGUCCGCAAGGAUGAGUAAAGCGGCGCACGGGUGAGUAACACGUGGGUAAUCUACCUUUUGGAUUGGAAUAACCUGUCGAAAGACGGGCUAAUGCCGAGUAAGCUUUCUUGAACGUAAAGUUCGAGCAAGGAAAGAUGGCGCAAGCUAUCGCCGAUAGAUGAGCCUGCGUCCCAUUAGUUAGUUGGUGGGGUAAUGGCUUACCAAGACAAUGAUGGGUAGCUGGUCUGAGAGGACGACCAGCCUCACUGGAACUGAGACACGGUCCAGACACCUACGGGUGGCAGCAGUCGAGAAUUUUUCUCAAUGGGGGAAACCCUGAAGGAGCGACGCCGCGUGGGGGAUGACGGAUCUAGGUCUGUAAACUCCUUUUUCAUGGAAAGACUUAGGACGGUACCAUGAGAAUAAGGACCGGCUAACUACGUG